rnacentral:rRNA from 1 species
GAUGAACGCUGGCGGCGUGCCUAAUACAUGCAAGUCGAGCGAACGGACGAGAAGCUUGCUUCUCUGAUGUUAGCGGCGGACGGGUGAGUAACACGUGGAUAACCUACCUAUAAGACUGGGAUAACUUCGGGAAACCGUAGCUAAUACCGGAUAAUAUUUUGAACCGCAUGGUUCAAAAGUGAAAGACGGUCUUGCUGUCACUUAUAGAUGGAUCCGCGCUGCAUUAGCUAGUUGGUAAGGUAACGGCUUACCAAGGCAACGAUGCAUAGCCGACCUGAGAGGGUGAUCGGCCACACUGGAACUGAGACACGGUCCAGACUCCUACGGGAGGCAGCAGUAGGGAAUCUUCCGCAAUGGGCGAAAGCCUGACGGAGCAACGCCGCGUGAGUGAUGAAGGCCUUCGGACCGUAAAACUCUGUUAUUAGGGAAGAACAUAUGUGUAAGUAACUGUGCACAUCUUGACGGUACCUAAUCAGAAAGCCACGGCUAACUACGUG